GAUUCUUUCAUUUUAUUCAAUUAAUUUCAAUACUAAACAAAAUUCUCUCUCUUUUUCUUUUUCUCUAUUUCUUUUUAAAUAAUAACCCUAUCUUCAUCGGUUAUGUCAUUGAAACAACAAUGAACUAGUUGUUCUUUGUAUAUAAAUAUUUGUCAAGCAAGAGGCCUUAACGAUCAGCUCGUCGUCGCUUUCGAUAGCGGGGAUUUGUCGGUACGGUCGCGGAGGAUGUGGUGGUCGAAGAUGGCAGUUGUUUCGGGCGGAAGGCGGCCGAGAAAACGAGGCUGUGAUCGGAGGAAAUUGUUUGACAUUACUUUGAUGAACAAAGGUAUGAUCAGAUAGUUCAUAAUUUGAAUCUACCGACUCGUAUUGGAGAAAUAUUGAUAUAUGACUCCGUUGAGUUACGUUAUAUGUUUGAAUGGGUGGAUGUAUUGAGAGAGAGCCGUGAGAUUGAGACUAUUUUCAUGUUACGAAAUAAAUAAAUUUAUCAUAGAGAUGUGAUAAAUCUCUAUUUCUCUCUCUUUUUUUUCAUUUUACUAUUUUGUGACAAAAUCACAUCCAAAUUGCAUCAA